AAAGCCCCGCAAGGGGCAAGUAGAGUGGCAAACGGGUGAGUAACACGUGGGUGACCUGCCUUCGAGCGGGGGGUAACGUCCCGAAAGGGACGCUAAUACCGCAUAACAUCCCGCCUUUGAAGAGGUGGAGAUCAAAGCUGGGGAUCGCAAGACCCGGCACUUGAAGAGGGGCCCGCGUCUGAUUAGCUAGUUGGUGGGGUAACGGCCUACCAAGGCAACGAUCAGUAUCCGGCCUGAGAGGGCGGACGGACACACUGGGACUGAGACACGGCCCAGACUCCUACGGGAGGCAGCAGUGGGGAAUUGUUCGCAAUGGGCGCAAGCCUGACGACGCAACGCCGCGUGGAGGAUGAAGAUUUUCGGAUCGUAAACUCCUGUCGAAUGGGACGAACAGAUUGCGGGUGAACAGCCCGUAGUCCUGACGGUACCGUUAAAGGAAACCCCGGCUAACUCCGUGCCA
rnacentral:rRNA from 1 species